rnacentral:lncRNA from 1 species
CCAGUGUCGGUCACAGAAGCUGGGCUGCUUCAAAUGUAAGAAUGAAUGAAACCCGCUGCCACUACAUUCACUACCGAGCCUCCUUCAACCUUCUCUCUCCUCCACUCAGCCUGGCGUCCCCCCGUUCUCCCCCUACUCACUGAGCUGCUUUAGGGGCCGUCCUCUGACAAAGUGUGUGAUCUCAUGCACCCAGCGCACAACUAGAGCCCUCACACCAUCACAUGCUAGGCAUAAUAUUCCUGAUUCCGCCUUCAUUUGGUCUGGAGAACAGCUGACCUCUGCUCCACUGGACCUCAGGCAAAAAGGAUCAGCCCAGAAAGUCAUCCGCCAGCGCCAGACGGAAUCACAAGCCGGUCACAUGCUGCCGCAGCCAGGCACGGGAUGCGGCUUAUCCCUCUGCAGGAAUGCGGUGGGGCGCAGGAAUGAGCAUCACAGGAUGAACCUGUCCGCGGGGCUCCGGGGGCCGACACACAGGCUGCGACGGGGUUCUCACUUCAACAGUUUCACCUUCUGUGAAUCUGUCCACUUCCACAAACACAAGGGGGCAGCAUGACCCAUUUCUUGGAUUCCACAGGAGCGCGUGAAAGGGCCGUGUUCCUUCACGGAGCACUUAUUUCACGCAGGUGGUUGCCUCCUCAUCGGCUGUAAUGAGAGGAAGAAGAACGUGGUCUGAGCACCUGGAGGCGUUUUAAUUGGCUUUUUUCUCAUGAAAUAAGCUCCUUCCAAUUAAAUUUCACACUGCCGACCUGCACAAAUGAAAGAUCUGUCUGAUUUCAUAGUCAUAGUUUGCACCUUGUAGCCCGAGGAGAUCAUUUAUGUCUUGGCUAGAAAAUCGCCUGAAAACGAGAACGUUGCUUCUCAAGCCGAUACUGGUCACAUUUAAAGCCAAACUGGCUUGGCACACUGUGAAAAAUCUCUAAACAGCUGAACAGGUGGCUGACGGCACAGGAGCGAUGGAGGGAGAAAUGUGAUAAUAAAUCAAUGAUAAACCAGAGUCCUGGAAAUGAA